CCUUCGAUAGCUCAGUUGGUAGAGCGGUGGACUGUAGUUGGAAAAAUAUGCAAUAGAAAUCCAUAGGUCGCUGGUUCAAAUCCGGCUCGAAGGA
rfam:Drosophila sechellia strain Rob3c scaffold_0 genomic scaffold, whole genome shotgun sequence.